GUCAGUGUGGUGUAGUGGUCUGAGCAUUGGACUAUGACUCCAGAGACCAGGGUUCAAAUCCCCGCUCAGCCA
rnacentral:tRNA from 1 species